AUGCAGUAUGUAGGGUUGGAGAGAAUACAGAGUGGGUUUCAAACCUCUGGGAAGGAUGGAGUAGUGGACCUGCAUGAAAUAUGGAAGAGAUCAGGUGACAACCCUCAAAGCAAAGAAACCUUGCUAUUUCAGAGGCAACAUGAUCAGCCUUUUAUGGAACAUCAUUGUCCAUUCAUAAUGUCACGAACUUGAUAGAAACUGCUGGAAAGAAAGGAAGUCCAGACAUCACACAAAGAAAUCUACUAGAGCUGCAGGAAUACUGCAGGGAUGCACAGGAAGGAUCCAUCCCUGAAGGUCCGAAUUACAAACACCGGAUGCAAAGUUCCAUUUGAAAACAAAACAAAAGCCUUAAAGGUAAUUCCAGCGAUAGAAGGAGGUGAUAAAGUGGCGCUGUCGGACGGUGAAGGUGAGCUGAGGCAGGUGGUGAGCGCUCGGGGAGGGCUGUAAGGGAAUCUGAGGCACACCUGCUCUUGUCGGGUCGGCCCGUGAGAAUCGAGCUUCUUUCAUCGGCCUGUCGGUUUAGAGGGGCCAGACGGCUGUGCCCACAACACUCACACACAAUGGGAUCGGGAAGAAUAGGCAUGGAUUUGCUCUUUUAGGCCCUCUUGUUACAACAUUUUUUUGACGGGACCUCAUUACAACAACUGUCGAGCUUUUGAUCACGGGCAGCCUUACGUCUCGUACUUGGAUUGUAUAGACUUCAGGAAAAAAAAAAAAAAAGAAAAGACAUUUGCAUUGGCAGAGAGGGAAUCUGUGAGAAGAAAACUCUGCAGUUCUUGGAAAUGCUUGGGGUUACAAAAAAGGCAGCUUGUGAGAUUUUUCACACAGAUUUUACACAAAAGAUAUAUAAAACAUGAGAAUUAAUCAGGAGAGAUUGCUGUUAUUUCAAAGUGCUUCUGUUCAGUUUGGGGUUUGCAGGAAGUAACACCAAAUUCCUUGCAUGCAUAUGCAGAAACAUGCAGUGUUAAUGGGACGCUUCACCCAAAAAUGAAAAUUCUGUCAUCAUUUACUCGCCCCCACCUGUUCCAAACCAGUACGAGUUUCUUCUGUUGAACACAAAAGUAGAUAUUUUGAAGAAUGUGUAACCAAACUGUUGACGGUAGCCAUUGUCUUCAAUAGUAUGGUUGCCAACAACUGUUUGGGUACUCACGUUCUUCAAAAUAACUUAUUUUGUGUUCAGCAGAAGAAAUAAACUAUGAGCUAUCCCUUUAAUAAAAUGAAAC
ensembl:lncRNA